GUGUCAGCCGCCGCGGUAAUACGGAGGGUGCAAGCGUUGUCCGGAAUCAUUGGGCGUAAAGAGUUCGUAGGUGGCAUGUUAAGUCUGGUGUUAAAGGCAGAAGCUCAACUUCUGUAAGGCACUGGAUACUGGCAAGCUUGAAUGCGGUAGAGGUAAAGGGAAUUCCUGGUGUAGCGGUGAAAUGCGUAGAUAUCAGGAGGAACAUCGGUGGCGUAAGCGCUUUACUGGGCCGUAAUUGACACUGAGGAACGAAAGCCGGGGUAGCAAAUGGGAUUAGAUACCCCGGUAGUCC
rnacentral:rRNA from 1 species